rnacentral:rRNA from 1 species
UACGUAGGGUGCGAGCGUUGUCCGGAAUUACUGGGCGUAAAGAGCUCGUAGGUGGUUUUGUCGCGUUGUUCGUGAAAUCUCACGGCUUAACUGUGAGCGUGCGGGCGAUACGGGCAGACUGGAGUACUGCAGGGGGAGACUGGAAUUCCUGGUGUAGCGGUGGAAUGCGCAGAUAUCAGGAGGAACACCGGUGGCGAAGGCGGGUCUCUGGGCAGUAACUGACGCUGAGGAGCGAAAAGCGUGGGGGAGCGAACAGG